CUUCGGGGCGGGGUGUGAUUCCCCACCGGUGGUGCGAAAAACGAAACUCGUUUUUCGCGACAGUCCACGAACCCUUUUCGGGCCGAACGGGUGAAAUUCCCGUACCGACGGUAUAGUCCGGAUGAGAGAAGC
rnacentral:ncRNA from 1 species